rnacentral:siRNA from 1 species
UCCAAGCGAAUGAUGAUACUUA